rnacentral:rRNA from 1 species
AACGAACGCUGGCGGCAUGCCUAACACAUGCAAGUCGAACGAGACCUUCGGGUCUAGUGGCGCACGGGUGCGUAACGCGUGGGAACCUGCCCUUAGGUUCGGAAUAACUCCCCGAAAGGGGUGCUAAUACCGGAUAAUGUCUUCGGCCCAAAGAUUUAUCGCCUUUGGUUGGGCCCGCGUUGGAUUAGCUAGUUGGUAGGGUAAAAGCCUACCAAGGCGACGAUCCAUAGCUGGUUUGAGAGGAUGAUCAGCAACACUGGGACUAGGACACGGCCCAGACUCCUACGGGAGGCAGCAGUGGGGAAUAUUGGACAAUGGGCGAAAGCCUGAUCCAGCAAUGCCGCGUGAGUGAUGAAGGCCUUAGGGUUGUAAAGCUCUUUUACCCGGGAUGAUAAUGACAGUACCGGGAGAAUAAGCUCCGGCUAACUCCGUG